rnacentral:rRNA from 1 species
CCCGGGAAACUGGGGGUAAUGCCCCAUAGGUCACAGAUGCUGGAAUGCCCUGUGGCUCAAAGGUCCGCCGCCUCAGGAUGAGUCUGCGGCCGAUUAGGUUGUUGUUGGGGUAAUGGCCCAACAAGCCUGUAAUCGGUACGGGUUGUGAGAGCAAGAGCCCGGAGAUGGAUUCUGAGACACGAAUCCAGGCCCUACGGGGCGCAGCAGGCGCGAAAACUUUACAAUGCGGGAAACCGUGAUAAGGGAACCCCGAGUGCCCGUAAAUUCGGGCUGUUCACCAGUGCAAACAGCUGGUGGAGAAAGGGCCGGGCAAGACCGGUGCCAGCCGCCGCGGUAAUACCGGCGGCUCGAGUGGUGGCCACUAUUACUGGGCUUAAAGCGUCCGUAGCUGGGUUGUUAAGUCUCUGGGGAAAUCUUCCGGCUUAACCGGAAGGCGUCUCAGGGAUACUGGCAAUCUAGGGAUCGGAAGAGGUGAGGGGUACUCCAGGGGUAGGAGUGAAAUCCUGUAAUCCUUGGGGGACCACCUGUGGCGAAGGCGCCUCACCAGGACGACUCCGACAGUGAGGGACGAAAGCUGGGGGAGCAAACCGGAUUAGAUACCCGGGUAGUCCCAGCUGUAAACGAUGCGCGUUAGGUGUAUCGGUGACCACGAGUUACCGAGGUGCCGAAGGGAAACCGUGAAACGCGCCGCCUGGG